rnacentral:rRNA from 1 species
AACAAACGCUGGCGGCAGGCCUAACACAUGCAAGUCGAACGCCCGUAGCAAUACGGGAGUGGCAGACGGGUGAGUAACGCGUGGGAACGUGCCCUUCGGUUCGGAAUAACUCAGGGAAACUUGAGCUAAUACCGGAUACGUCCGUAAGGAGAAAGAUUUAUCGCCGAAGGAUCGGCCCGCGUCGGAUUAGCUAGUUGGUGAGGUAACGGCCCACCAAGGCGACGAUCCGUAGCUGGUCUGAGAGGANGAUCAGCCACACUGGGACUGAGACACGGCCCAGACUCCUACGGGAGGCAGCAGUGGGGAAUCUUGGACAAUGGGCGCAAGCCUGAUCCAGCCAUGCCGCGUGGGUGAAGAAGGCCUU